rnacentral:rRNA from 1 species
CCCCGAUAACUGAGUCGGGCCUUUCCACACAUAUGGAAAAAUUGCCUGUCCACAUUCCCCUUUUUAAGGGAAUCCCCGGUGGGUGAGCACCGCAGCAGAGGUUAAACCUCAAAGGAUUUUCCGGGGCCCCCCAAAAGGGGGGGACUUUGGGUAUAAUUUCAUGAACCGCAAAAACCCUUCCCUGGUUUUGACAUCCACUACCUCUCUAAAAAGAUGUGGUUCCCCCUUUGUGGUAGGAAGUACAGGGGGUGCGAUGGUUGUCUCCACCUCUCGUGGCGGGAGGUGGGGUAAAAACCCCCAACAAGAGCACCCCUUGUCUUAUUUUGUCCCAAUUUGGUUGGGGACUCAUAAGGAUACUGCCCGGGUGAAAUCGGAGGGAAGGGGGGGGUAACACUCCAAUCAUCAUGCCCCUUAUGUCCAGGGCUUCACACAUGCUACAAUGGUCGGUACAACGCGCAGCGACACUGUGCAGGUGGAGACGAAUCGCUGAAAGCCGGUCUUAGUUCGGAAUGGUGGCUGGCACUCCCCCCCCUGGAGGCGGAAACCCUUGUAAUCCCGGAACAACAAUGCUGCGGUGAAUACGUUCCCGGCCCCUUGAACAAAACAAAAA